rnacentral:sRNA from 1 species
GCUAGGCUUGGUGGCCCACGUCUGUAAUCCUAGCAGCUUGGAAGGCUGAGGCAGGAGGAUCCUUGAGUUCAAAGCCAGCCUUCAGCAAAAGCAAAGUGCUGAUCAACUCAGUGAGAUCCUGUCUCUA